GAUGAAGAACGUAGCGAAAUGCGAUAAGUAAUGUGAAUUGCAAAAUUCAGUGAAUCAUCGAAUCUUUGAACGCACAUUGCGCCCGACAGUAUUCUGGCGGGCAUGCCUGUUCGAGCGUCAUUUCAACCCUCAGGCCCCCAGUGCCUGGUGUAGGGGAUCGGCCCAGCCUUCCUGUAAGGCCGCCGGCCCCGAAAUCUAGUGGCGGUCUCGCUGUAGUCCUCCUCUGCGUAGUAGCACAACCUCGCAGUUGGAACGCGGCGGUGGCCAUGCCGUUAAACACCCCACUUCUGAAAGUUGACCUCGGAUCAGGUAGGAAUACCCGCUGAACUUAAGCAUAUCAAUAAGCGGAGGA
rnacentral:misc_RNA from 1 species